GGCACUUACGCGCUUUAUCAACAAAAUAUCGAGUUUCUGGUCAAUAUGGUUAUUUUCUGACAUGUCGACAUAAAGAUCUAACAAGUUAUGUCGACAUAAAUAUCUGACAAUUUGACAUAAAUAUCUGACAAGUCGACAUAAUCAUCUGACAAGUCGACAUAAUUAUCUGACAAGUUGUGGCACAUAUAUACCACCACACUUUAAAGAUAAGAGAGAUUGAUUUUUCGAAAAUGUAGUUCUGUUUGCGCCUUAUGUAGUACUUCGAACAGGAAAAGUACAACGCUUCCAAACAACGACCGAACUUUGUAAACACAUCAUGGCUUCCUCGGAGUCGGACGAUCAGAGGCAAAGGGGAGUACACGAGAGAUGGUUUGAACAUGUCCAUGAAAAUAUUGCAGCUGACAAUAGUGAAUGCAUGGAAUAUUCUUGGUCAGCUUUUCAUGCAAAAAGACUACAAGAUAAUCCAGAGACAGUAAUAGACAUUGGCUCAUUGUUACCUUUAUUCCAAGAAGAGGCAAAGUCAGUUGCAAUGAUUCGACAUGCUUUAGAUAUUAUUAAGAAAAUUGUCAACUUUCUUAACCCAGGACAGACACCUGUCAUCACAUGUGACCAACCCCUCUUUGCAUUAGCAAAGCUGAUUCAAUGGACCUGGCCAGAAAGAUUUUCAGAGAAACAUGUUGUCAUCCUAUUUGGUGGUCUUCACAUUGAAAUUGCUGCUUUUAGAACGAUUGGUGAUUGGCUAGAAAACAGUGGCUGGACCAGUGUACUAUGUCAAGCCGACAUAGCAAGUUCAGGCACCGCUGAUUCAUUCCUUAAAGCAUCCCACGUGAAACGGACAAGACACGCACAUGAGGUGACUGCUUGUUCUUUAUACAUUUUGAUGAAGCGUUCUUACGAUAGAUAUAUAACAGAACAGGGUGAAAAUGAUCAGCUUGUAUUUGAAGAAUGGCGAGAACAAAGAGAAAUUGAAAGUCCCCUUUUCAACUUCUGGUCUUUAACACUGAAUUUUGAAAUUGCAAUAUUAGUUUUCAUCAGAUCACUGCGAGAGGGUAAUUUUCAACUGUAUAAAGAAUCAAUUUCACUUCUCAUCCCUUGGUUCUUUGCGCUCGAUCAUCCGAACUAUGCGAGAUGGUUACCUGUUCACUUACGUGACAUGGUUAUGCUACAUGAUAAUGCACCAGAAGUGGAAAAAGAGUUUCAAAAUGGUAAAUUUGUUGCUAAGAAAUCUCAUAAUAUAUUUUCAUCAAUAGCAUUAGAUCAGACACAUGAGCAGAACCAUCGGUUAGUGAAAGGAGAUGGUGGAGCAAUUGGCCUUACAGAAAAUAUGGCUCAGCUUCAAAGGUGGAUGGUAUCGGGUCCAGAAGUAGCCAGAGUAAUAAAUGAAUUCGAAUCUGCUCAAGAACAAAUAAAGAAAGAUCAAAGCAAAGGACCAGAUAUACGACACUACGAGCAGGGUAAAAAAAGAGCAUGGGAUACAUGGACAAGCUAUAGACCAGUAAUGGAAACCUUUGACAGUUUAAGCGAUACGAGUCUGUCGCCAACAGCCGUUGUGGAUCACAUGGAAGAAAAACAAUGUGAUCAAAAGAAAUUUGUUGUGCUCAUGUACGAUAAAGCAAGUGAGUGUGUAACAGUCAAUGGCGCAAGAAUGGACCUAUUUGCUAGAAAUGGAAGGGCAAUUGAUAAUAUUUCUCCUACAGAAGCAGCACUGCUUCAACACACAAAGCGAGCCUGUUAUAUGGCUAGCCAGGUCUGGGACAGAUGUCUUGAACCUACCUCUACAACAGUAGAUCCAGGAACAUGGGGCUGGAAAAGGAAUGAAACAAAUAUGUGGAUUCCAUUUUGGACAGUACUACCUGAAGCAUCAGCAUCAUGCAAUGAGCUAAUUAAAUGUGGAUGCAAGCCUCAGAUUGGAUGUAGAGGGAGAUGCCGAUGUGUUAAAGCUAAUUUGACCUGCACUGCUCUUUGUAAAUGUGGCGGAGAAUGUGACAGAGACUAAUUUUUGAACAUUCUCAAGAUUAAAACUUUCUUAAAAUAUCUUUAGCAUUUGUGUCUCUUUUAUCUAAAAAAAAAAAAAAGACCGGG
rnacentral:sRNA from 1 species